rnacentral:rRNA from 1 species
GCUUAGGAAUCUGCCUAUUAGUGGGGGACAACAUUCCGAAAGGAAUGCUAAUACCGCAACGCCCUACGGGGGAAAGCAGGGGAUCUUCGGACCUUGCGCUAAUAGAUGAGCCUAAGUCAGAUUAGCUAGUUGGUGGGGUAAAGGCCUACCAAGGCGACGAUCUGUAGCGGGUCUGAGAGGAUGAUCCGCCACACUGGGACUGAGACACGGCCCAGACUCCUACGGGAGGCAGCAGUGGGGAAUAUUGGACAAUGGGCGAAAGCCUGAUCCAGCCAUGCCGCGUGUGUGAAGAAGGCCUUUUGGUUGUAAAGCACUUUAAGCGAGGAGGAGGCUACUUGGAUUAAUACUCUAGGAUAGUGGACGUUACUCGCAGAAUAAGCACCGGCUAACUCUGUGCCAGCAGCCGCGGUAAUACAGAGGGUGCGAGCGUUAAUCGGAUUUACUGGGCGUAAAGCGUGCGUAGGCGGCUUUUUAAGUCGGAUGUGAAAUCCCUGAGCUUAACUUAGGAAUUGCAUUCGAUACUGGGAAGCUAGAGUAUGGGAGAGGAUGGUAGAAUUCCAGGUGUAGCGGUGAAAUGCGUAGAGAUCUGGAGGAAUACCGAUGGCGAAGCAGCCAUCUCGCCUAAUACUGACGCUGAGGUACGAAAGCAUGGGGAGCAAACAGGAUUAGAUACCCUGGUAGUCCAUGCCGUAAACGAUGUCUACUAGCCGUUGGGGCCUUUGAGGCUUUAGUGGCGC